UGCUCUUUCUUUUUUUUUUUUUUUUUUUUUUUUUUUAGACAGAGUCUGGCUCUGUCCUGAGGCUGGAUGGAGUGCAGUGGUGCGAUCUUGGCUCACCUCUGCCUACCUGGUUCAAGUGAUUCUCAUGCCUCAGCCACCCAAGUAGCUGGGAUUACAGGUGUGCAUCACCAUGCCCAGCUAAUCUUUGUAUUUUUAGUAGAGAUGGGAUUUUGCUAUGUUGGCCAGGCUGGUCUCGAACUCCUGGCCUCAAGUGAUCCACCUGCCUUGGCCUCCCAAAGUGCUGGGAUUACAGGCAUGAGCCACUGUGCCCAGCCUGUAUGCUUUUUCUUAUUGACUUAAAGGAGUUAUUCAAAUAAUCAGGUUAAAAGUCCUUCUGUUACUUAUUGAGAUUUUAUAUAUAUAUGUAUAUAUUCUCCUACUUUUGUGGGUAUUGUUUUUCUCUAAAUAGUAUCUUUUGAUGAACAUAGUUUUUAAUUUCAAUGUAAUGGUUUAUCAAUCUUUCUGUCUCUGAUUUGUGCUUUCUGUGUCGUGUUUAAGAAAUCUUUUCCUCCCCUGAAGGUACUCUCCCAAUAACCUUCUAGAUUUCUUAUUGUUUUACAUUUCAAAGUUAGACCUACAAUCAACCUGGAUUUGGUUUUUGUAUAUAUGACUAAGGGCCAAGAUUCAUUAUUUUCCAUGUGGCUAUCCAAUUGACUGAGCACUCCCUAUUGAAAUGAUUAUCCUAUCCCUACUAGUGUUCAGCUUAUCCUUUGUGACAAAUCAAAUUUUCCUAUAGAUGUAGGUCUGUUUCUGAAUUUUCUGUUGUCUGAUGGUUCUAUUUUUCUACCCUUUGGCAGUACCAUCUGGUUGUAAUUAUUGUAGCUUUACAGUAAGUUUUGAUAUCUGGUAGUCUUCAAACUUUCUUCUUCAGCUCCAUUAUAAUCUUAUGGGACCACCAUAUGUGGUCCAUUGUUUACCAAAAUGUCAUUAUAUGGUGCAUGCCUGUAUAUUCUGAAUUCGACUCACAAUCUCUACUGCCACCGCUAAUUUCAAGCCACCACUACUUCAUUCUAAAUUAACUUCAAUGGACUUACAACCAGUCCUUCUGCCUCAUAACCUACACACAGUAAAGAGGUCAUUUAAACAUAUACAAGAUCUUAUCACUCUCUGGCUCAAAAUUUGAAAUGACUUCCUAUCCCACUUAGAAUAAAAUCCAGACUUCUUACCAUGUGAUAUUA
rnacentral:lncRNA from 1 species